rnacentral:rRNA from 1 species
UACGUAGGGUGCAAGCGUUGUCCGGAAUUAUUGGGCGUAAAGGGCGCGUAGGCGGCCUUCUAAGUCGAACGUGAAAUCCCCGGGCUCAACCCGGGAACUGCGUCCGAUACUGGAAGGCUUGAAUCCGGGAGAGGGAUGCGGAAUUCCAGGUGUAGCGGUGAAAUGCGUAGAUAUCUGGAGGAACACCGGUGGCGAAGGCGGCAUCCUGGACCGGCAUUGACGCUGAGGCGCGAAAGCCAGGGGAGCAAACGGG